CGAUGAUGUAUAUGAAAAGAAGAAACAUCAAGAAAGGCAUAUUCUUGAACAUUCAUGGUGGUUGUCUCUGGGGGAACCAACACCAAGGUCUCCAUUUGGAACCAGAACCUAAACUACGGUGUAGGAGACAUGGGGGAAGGAUCAUCUAGGUUGUUGACUUGGGGAAGAUAAGCUACUCACAGGUCCCUAACUCAUCAUUGUUUCCUAGUAACAACAAUUGCUUGAAAAUCAGAGUCUCGCUUUGCUGCCCAGGCUGUAGUGCAGUGGUG